rnacentral:rRNA from 1 species
CAAACCUUUACGCAAGUUUCGUAUCUAGUUUUCAAGGCGCAAACCACGCUUUGACUGUUUGGUGAUGAUGGCGGAGGGGACCCACGCGUUCCCAUCUCGAACACGACCGUUAAGCCCUCCAGCGUCGAUGGUACUUGAACCGCAGGGUUCUGGGAGAGUAGAACGUUGCCAAGC